GAAUAUCCUUUUUAAUUAUUUUUAAUUUAAUUAGGUGUGAUUUUGAGACCCAACAACCUGAAAAAAGAAGGAAAAUUUGACACCUGGAAAAACAAAAGACAAUGGAAUUUGGGAAAAACGGAGUAAGGCAGAAAAUAAAACUGAUGGCAUAGGGCCCUGUGUACAUUACCAUAUGUUGUCAGUACACUGUGCUCUUUCUCAGAGUCCUCUGACGAGAGUUCUCUGGCCACCAGCCCUCUCAGACACCGUCUGCCCCAGUCCGUGAAGAUUGUUCAUGAGAUCAUGUACAAGGUGGAGGUGCUCUGUGUGCUACUCAUUGGCCGCCAGAGGAACCAGGUUCACAAAAUGCUGGCCGAGUUCAAACUAAUUCCAGGACUUAACAACCUGUUUGACAAGCUGAUCUGGAGAAAGCAAACAUCUUCCCAUGUCCUCCAUGGCCAGAACCAAAACUGUGACUGCAGCCCGAUCUCCUUUAAAAUCCAGUUUAUACGAUUACUCCAGAACUUCAGCAACCAUAAUGA